ACUUAGUUGGUAACCUGUAUCUGAUGCCAGAAAUAAAGAAAAUCUCGAGGAUAAAGAAGUAAUUAUUUUCUAAAUCGUGGAUUCGUUCGUUCAAUUUGUAAAAACGUUAUAACCAAGAAACCUUGAUCCAAUUCGAUUAACAUUGUUGCUUGUAUAAGCACAUUCAUCCUGCACGGUAAUUCAAAUGGACAGAAUAAUGCGUUCGCACGUAAUGCAGUAGCGUGUAAUUUUGAUCGUACAAUUUUACAUCAACGCGAAUGCCAUGAAUACAAACUAACACGCAGAGAACAAAGUUAUCAGGAGGAGCCAGUUGGUUAGUUUGCUUUUGGAAUAACAUGAAAGGAGAACACGCGAUCAAUGAUUAGUAUAAUGCAUACAGUGGUUGCUAUAAUUAGACAGAAGCACUUGAACGUUAUGAAGAUGAAAGACGCGAAGAAUGUAAAAGGAAAUAUAAAAACUAGUUUCCGUGAAAUCGUUACUUUUAACUUUAGGAAUUAAUUUUACUAUUUUUAACUUAGAAAUUCUUUCCAUCCUUUCUCCUCCUCCUUUUUAUAUUUAUACCACCAAUAUGGUAAUAAUAAUUCUAAUCCUAUUCUUAGUAUCAUCCAGAAAUAAGAGAUCAGAAAUAAUUUAUUUUGCUCAUCAACUCAUUGAUAGGUACAAACAGGUUGUUGCUAAAGUACAUCCGAGUCAGUAAAUCGACCGUUAGUACAUCGGAUCCACUCGAUCGCACUCUACUUUACCAACCAUCAAUACAUAUAAAUACACAUAUGUUGUUUCAGCAGAGAUACGAACCACGUUUUGAGUAGACUAAUUGUAACCAAUUAUAGCAUACAAAUCCUGAUUAUAUACCAAAUAAAUUUUUUUCAAACAAA